AAGUGUCAGGCACUGCGGUGCAUUUUCCCAGUUCCCUUUUAAAUGACUGCGGAAAAAUAGACUCGGAGCCGCAAAUGGGAAGACGGAUUCUCAGACAAGGCUUGCGAAUGCCCCGCAGCCAUCAUUUAACUGCACCCGCAGAGCAGUUACGGUUUGUCACCCGACCCUCCCGGAUCGCCUCGUUUGUCCCUAGUGAGACCCCGAGGCUCUGCCCGCCGGGGUUGCCGGUAGCUGGAUGCCUGUCGUGCUCUGGGCAGCCCGGGCGCAGUGCACGCGUUCGCGCACACCCGCGCACACACGAAAACGCGCAAGAGCUGAACCGAGCCCGGUUUCCAUUUCAAAAAAGGAGACAGCCUCUACUGCGAUUGUAGAAGAGACCGCGGUGUGAAUUAGGGAAGAGAGGCGUCGAGCGGUGGAACGGUCCAUCUCGGAGACUAAUUUUCUGGAGUUUCUGCCCCUGCUCUGCGUCAGCCCUCACGUCACUUCGCCAGCAGUAGCAGAGGCGGCGGCGGCGGCGGCGGCGGCGGCUCCCGGAAUUGGGUUGGAGCAGGAGCCUCGUUCGCUCCUUCGCUCGCGCUCUCCGCGCUCAGUGCCCGGCGGCAGGAGGAGCCUGCACCCAGGCGCCGCCGGCGGGCGGUAGGCGCCGGA